AGUCAUGUGGUGAACACAGAGCGAACUAUUCUUUCGCCUUUUACUAAAGAAUACCGUGUGUUCGCCAUAUUUUAAUGGCAUAAUGUAAUUUUUGUUGGGUUUUCUCUCUUUGAGAUUU
rnacentral:snRNA from 1 species